ensembl:lncRNA
CUGUGGAUGAAGACUGAGCUUCAGGACCUUGGACUGUGGCCUGGGUCUCGACCAGUGCGUCACGCAGGGAACGCGACUUCACUCUGGCGUCUCCCUCCACAGCCUGAGCUCAUAGAUACAGUGGCUGACCUACCAUCGCCAAAUUUCUUCCAGCUCCACCCCUUCUUCAGCCUUCUUCUCCAACCUGAGAGUGUUAGUGCUAUCAUGGGCUUGUCGCAGGAACUGGUUUGCUGACAAUCCACGAUGGCUGGAGAAACUGCCCAAAAGGUUUACCAACCUUCUCCCUG